AAAAAAAAAAAAAAAAAAAAAAAAAAAAAAAAAAAAAAAAAAGGACUAAACAAUUUUAGUAUAAAUA
rnacentral:tRNA from 1 species